rnacentral:rRNA from 1 species
AGCGAACGCUGGCGGCGUACUUAACACAUGCAAGUCGAACGAGGAUCGUCGGUGUAGCAAUACAUUGGCGGUUCUAGUGGCGCACGGGUGAGUAACACGUGGGUAACCUGCCCUUGAGCUCGGGAUACCCUCUCGAAAGGGAGGCUAAUACCGGAUACGUUCCCUGGAUUGCGAAGUCUAGGGAGGAAAGGUGGCGCAAGCUGCCGCUCUUGGAGGGGCUCGCGGCCUAUCAGCUAGUUGGUGAGGUAAUGGCUCACCAAGGCUAUGACGGGUAGCUGGUCUGAGAGGACGACCAGCCACACGGGAACUGAGACACGGUCCCGACUCCUACGGGUGGCAG